AUGGCCUGCUGCCCCCGGUGGCAGCAUGGGCCCCCCACACGGAAGCCCCGGCAGGAAGAAUCCCAUCCAGCCUGCAGAGACUGUGGGACAGGUCAGCCCGCGUCUGCGCCCUCAGUCACUCUGUUCGCGCCCUCCACUGAGGAGCUCAGAGCCAACAAGGCCACCCUGGUGUGUCUCAUCAAUGACUUCUACCCGGGCAGCGUGAAGGUGGCCUGGAAGGCAGGCAGCAACACCAUCACCAGGGGCGUGGAGACCACCCAGCCCUCAAAACAGAGCAACAGCAAGUACGCGGCCAGCAGCUACCUGGCCCUGACGGCCAGCGAGUGGAAAUCUUACGACAGGGUCAGCUGCCAGGUCACGCACGAGGGGAGCACCGUGGAGAAGACAGUGUCGCCUUCCGAGUGCACUUAG